rnacentral:rRNA from 1 species
AUGCAGCCACCACCGAGGUACUAUGCUCCUGAUGGUAUGGUUUGUAGACUUCACCGCUCCAUAUAUGGUCUCAAACAGGCCCCUCGCGCCUGGUUUGAGCGCUUCGCCUUUGUGGUGACCGCCGCUGGUUUCUUGCCCAGUGAUCAUGAUCCCACGUUGUUUAUUCACACGUCUCCUCAUGGUCGGACUCUUCUCCUUCUCUAUGUUGAUGACAUGAUCAUCACUGGUGACGACUCUGAUUACAUUGCCUUUGUUAAGGCUCGCCUUCGCGACCAGUUUCUCAUGACUGAUCUUGGUGCACUUCGCUAUUUUCUUGGGAUUGAGAUCUCCUCGACCUCUGAUGGCUUCUACAUCUCCCAAGAAAAAUACAUUCAGGACCUUCUUGCUCGCGCUGCUCUAGGUGAUGAGCGCACCGUUGUGACUUCCAUGGAGCUCAACGUUCAGCUUCGUGCCUCUGAUGGUGACCCUCUCCCUAAUCCCACUCGCUAUCGUCACCUUGUUGGCGGUCUUGUCUACCUUGAUGUUACGCGUCCUGACAUCUCCUAUCCCGUCCACAUUCUGAGUCAGUUCGUUUCAGCCCCCACCUCAGUCCACUAUAGUCAUCUCCUCCGUGUCCUAUGA